CGACCGGCGCACGGGUGCGUAACGCGUAUGCAACCUACCAUCAACAGGGGGAUAACACUGAGAAAUUGGUACUAAUACCCCAUAAUAUCUCAUGCGGCAUCGCAUGGGGUUGAAAACUCCGGUGGUUGAUGAUGGGCAUGCGUUGUAUUAGCUGGUUGGUGGGGUAACGGCUCACCAAGGCGACGAUACGUAGGGGGACUGAGAGGUUAACCCCCCACAUUGGUACUGAGACACGGACCAAACUCCUACGGAAGGCAGCAG
rnacentral:rRNA from 1 species